UACGUAGGGUGCGAGCGUUAAUCGGAAUUACUGGGCGUAAAGCGCACGUAGGCGGCUUUGUAAGUUAGAGGUGAAAGCCCGGGGCUCAACUCCGGAAUUGCCUUUAAGACUGCAUCGCUAGAAUUGUGGAGAGGUAAGUGGAAUUCCGAGUGUAGAGGUGAAAUUCGUAGAUAUUCGGAAGAACACCAGUGGCGAAGGCGGCUCACUGGCCCGGUACUGACGCUGAGGUGCGAAAGCGUGGGGAGCAAACAGG
rnacentral:rRNA from 1 species